rnacentral:rRNA from 1 species
CCCAGACUCCUACGGGAGGCAGCAGUGGGGAAUAUUGCACAAUGGGCGAAAGCCUGAUGCAGCGACGCCGCGUGAGGGAUGACGGCCUUCGGGUUGUAAACCUCUUUCAGCAGGGAAGAAGCGAAAGUGACGGUACCUGCAGAAGAAGCGCCGGCUAACUACGUGCCAGCAGCCGCGGUAAUACGUAGGGCGCAAGCGUUGUCCGGAAUUAUUGGGCGUAAAGAGCUCGUAGGCGGCUUGUCGCGUCGGUUGUGAAAGCCCGGGGCUUAACCCCGGGUCUGCAGUCGAUACGGGCAGGCUAGAGUUCGGUAGGGGAGAUCGGAAUUCCUGGUGUAGCGGUGAAAUGCGCAGAUAUCAGGAGGAACACCGGUGGCGAAGGCGGAUCUCUGGGCCGAUACUGACGCUGAGGAGCGAAAGCGUGGGGAGCGAACAGGAUUAGAUACCCUGGUAGUCCACGCCGUAAACGGUGGGCACUAGGUGUGGGCAACAUUCCACGUUGUCCGUGCCGCAGCUAACGCAUUAAGUGCGCCGCCUGGGGAGUACGGCCGCAAGGCUAAAACUCAAAGGAAUUGACGGGGGCCCGCACAAGCGGCGGAGCAUGUGGCUUAAUUCGACGCAACGCGAAGAACCUUACCAAGGCUUGACAUACACCGGAAAACCCUGGAGACAGGGUCCCCC